AUGGACUAUACUUUGAUAAUUACAUGUUUGUUAUACCAAUUAUAAUUAACAGCAUAACAAUCACAGCAAUCCCUUUACUCGUUAGUAUACAAUUGUUGCAAUAUUGAUUCGCCGCUUAGUUUAUCAUUUGCAUUUCUGGGACUAGCGGCUUAUACACGGUAUGCUGUCAAUAUGGCUUAUUGCAUUAUCAUUUGUAUAAAUAUAUGGGUACACCUAUUUAUAAUAUC